CCUACCCUUGACAUGCCAGGAACUUGCCAGAGAUGGCUUGGUGCUCGAAAGAGAACCUGGACACAGGUGCUGCAUGGCUGUCGUCAGCUCGUGUCGUGAGAUGUUGGGUUAAGUCCCGCAACGAGCGCAACCCUUGUCAUUAGUUGCCACCAUUCAGUUGGGCACUCUAAUGAGACUGCCGGUGACAAACCGGAGGAAGGUGGGGAUGACGUCAAGUCCUCAUGGCCCUUAUGGGUAGGGCUUCACACGUCAUACAAUGGUCGGUACAGAGGGUUGCCAACCCGCGAGGGGGAGCCAAUCCCACAAAGCCGAUCGUAGUCCGGAUUGGAGUCUGCAACUCGACUCCAUGAAGUCGGAAUCGCUAGUAAUCGUGGAUCAGCAUGUCACGGUGAAUACGUUCCCGGGUCUU
rnacentral:rRNA from 1 species